GUUCCUGAGACUGACCUCAAACUUGUGACUCUCCUGUCUCUGCCUCCUGAGUCCCUGGGUUUAUAGAAGUAAUAAAAAGAAGAAAAGAGGGGAAGCUGAAUCCCACUAAAGAAUUCUAACAGAAGAUGAAUCACAGAAAGGAGAAUUGGUGGAGACAGCUGGAAAGAGGAAAGGUGGGCAGACCAAAUCUCUAAGACUUAUGGGAAGAAAGGAUUGUAUUGAAAGCUGAUGGCCAGAUAAAGAAGAUGAUCCAAGAGGGAGGUUAUGCUUCUGCCCUGGGAAUGACAUAAUAAAAAUGUUCAUGUGCUUCUUAAACUCAUGACUAAUCUCUGCUUGAUGCCUGAUGCCUGAGAGUGAUUGUAAUUUCUUAUGCUUUUUAUGCAUUAAAAAGACAACAUCUA